rnacentral:rRNA from 1 species
UACGGAGGGUGCAAACGUUGCUCGGAAUCAUUGGGCGUAAAGCGCACGUAGGCGGCGCGUUAAGUCGGGUGUGAAAGCCCUGGGCUCAACCCAGGAAGUGCAUUCGAAACUGGCGCGCUUGAAUAUGGAAGAGGGUCGCGGAAUUCCCGGUGUAGAGGUGAAAUUCGUAGAUAUCGAGAGGGAACACCAGUGGCGGAAGG